CUCUAGUCAAAAGUAGUGCACUCUAUAGCUGGUGAAUAACUACAUAUAAACCAUCAGGGGGGCAGCAGGUAGGGCUCUAGUCAAAAGUAGUGCACUCUAUAGCUGGUGAAUAACUACAUAUAAACCAUCAGGGGCAGCAGGUAGGACUCUAGUCAAAAGUAGUGCACUCUAUAGCUGGUGAAUAACUACAUAUAAACCAUCAGGGGGGCAGCAGGUAGGGCUCUAGUCAAAAGUAGUGCACUCUAUAGCUGGUGAAUAACUACAUAUAAACCAUCAGGGGCAGCAGGUAGGACUCUAGUCAAAAGUAGUGCACUCUAUAGCUGGUGAAUAACUACAUAUAAACCAUCAGGGGCAGCAGGUAGGGCUCUAGUCAAAAGUAGUGCACUCUAUAGCUGGUGAAUAACUACAUAUAAACCAUCAGGGGCAGCAGGUAGGACUCUAGUCAAAAGUAGUGCACUCUAUAGCUGGUGAAUAACUACAUAUAAACCAUCAGGGGCAGCAGGUAGGACUCUAGUCAAAAGUAGUGCACUCUAUAGCUGGUGAAUAACUACAUAUAAACCAUCAGGGGGGCAGCAGGUAGGACUCUAGUCAAAAGUAGUGCACUCUAUAGCUGGUGAAUAACUACAUAUAAACCAUCAGGGGCAGCAGGUAGGACUCUAGUCAAAAGUAGUGCACUCUAUAGCUGGUGAAUAACGACAUAUAAACCAUCAGGGGCAGCAGGUAGGACUCUAGUCAAAAGUAGUGCACUCUAUAGCUGGUGAAUAACGACAUAUAAACCAUCAGGGGCAGCAGGUAGGACUCUAGUCAAAAGUAGUGCACUCUAUAGCUGGUGAAUAACUACAUACAAACCAUCAGGGGCAGCAGGUAGGACUCUAGUCAAAAGUAGUGCACUCUAUAGCUGGUGAAUAACUACAUAUAAACCAUCAGGGGCAGCAGGUAGGACUCUAGUCAAAAGUAGUGCACUCUAUAGCUGGUGAAUAACUACAUAUAAACCAUCAGGGGCAGCAGGUAGGACUCUAGUCAAAAGUAGUGCACUCUAUAGCUGGUGAAUAACUACAUAUAAACCAUCAGGGGCAGCAGGUAGGACUCUAGUCAAAAGUAGUGCACUCUAUAGCUGGUGAAUAACUACAUAUAAACCAUCAGGGGCAGCAGGUAGGACUCUAGUCAAAAGUAGUGCACUCUAUAGCUGGUGAAUAACUACAUAUAAACCAUCAGGGGCAGCAGGUAGGACUCUAGUCAAAAGUAGUGCACUCUAUAGCUGGUGAAUAACUACAUAUAAACCAUCAGGGGCAGCAGGUAGGACUCUAGUCAAAAGUAGUGCACUCUAUAGCUGGUGAAUAACUACAUAUAAACCAUCAGGGGCAGCAGGUAGGACUCUAGUCAAAAGUAGUGCACUCUAUAGCUGGUGAAUAACUACAUAUAAACCAUCAGGGGCAGCAGGUAGGACUCUAGUCAAAAGUAGUGCACUCUAUAGCUGGUGAAUAACUACAUAUAAACCAUCAGGGGCAGCAGGUAGGACUCUAGUCAAAAGUAGUGCACUCUAUAGCUGGUGAAUAACUACAUAUAAACCAUCAGGGG